CCCUUAGAUGCUCUGGGCCGCACGCGCGCUACACUGGUCGAUGCAACGAGUUUCUUUCCUUGGCCGACAGGCCUGGGCAAUCUUUGAACAUCGAUCGUGAUCGGGAUAGAUUCUUGUAAUUUUUGAUCUUAAACGAGGAAUUCCUAGUAAACGCAAGUCAUCAGCUUGCAUUGAUUACGUCCCUGCCCUUUGUACACACCGCCCGUCGCACCUACCGAUUGAAUGGUCCGGUGAAAUCUCCGGACUGGCGUGAGUCGGAGCAAUCUGACAAACACCGGAAAGUUGAUUAAACCUUACCAUUUAGAGGAAGGUGAAGCCGUANCA
rnacentral:rRNA from 1 species